rnacentral:lncRNA from 1 species
GCAUUUCGAUGACCUCCAAAUUGAGAACAAUCCUCUCUUUUAACAUCAACUCCAAUAGUAAGUUCUCAACUGCAAAUACAAACAUGAAAAAGCGAGAUUAUAUAUAUAAUUUAAAGUCUAUAUAAUCUGAACGCUAUAAAANNNNNNNNNNNNNNNNNNNNNNNNNNNNNNNNNNNNNNNNNNNNNNNNNNNNNNNNNNNNNNNNNNNNNNNNNNNNNNNNNNNNNNNNNNNNNNNNNNNNAAAGCGAGAAAAUAUUUUAAGGUCUAUUACAUGAGUUAUAUCUCUUAAUCGAUUAUAUUGUUGGAUCGUUAUAAAUUUGUAUAUGUUAUACUUAUAUAAGCUGAAAAUAUUUUCAUCAAUUUUGAACCGUUAAAGUUUAUCAUAUGAUUUAUUAUGAAUUUUAAGAAGUUUAUUGUCUAGGAUUUUUGUAGCAAAUUUUUUAGUAAUGAAUACUCAUUUUCAAAAAUAGACAACCUAAUGAUUUCAAAUCCGAUUCGGGUGAUUCUUGUGGUUAAAGUGUAGUUGUCACGCCCUAAAUCCGGGUCUCUUGAACCUCGGACCUGGUAUGUCAUGGUAUUACCUUCAUCUUAAUAUAUACCAUCUUUAUUCAUAAAUUAAUGAACACAAUCUGGUUUUUAUACCAAUUAAUACAUUAUUCCCUCCUGUUCCAGAAUCUGUGUGACAACCCCAAAAAAUCAGGUCUAUUUCUCUUCCCGAUCUUGUGCGUUAAAUACUAUCUUGAUUCAGCUUUAUGUCAUACUAAGAUGAAAUAAUAGCUGAAGAUCUGGACAAUUUAAAACUUUUCUUUUUGUCUUUCUUUCAUUCUCUGAAUCGCAACCUUUACGAUUACAUACUUUAGAAUCAUAGUUACUUUAUGAUUCAGUUUAUUAGAGUUAUUGUAUAAGAAUUCAAGUCUCAGUACAACAUCCUUUACAUCUAGAAUAAUUCAAUAUUUACACAAUUCUUAUUUACACAUCAAAAAUCGUCACCACGAUGUAAUAUAGUUCCUGCUUAAAAGGAAACAUCAUUUCUGCACGUACGCUUCUAUUCUUUAUCAUCCAGAUAGCAAGAAAUCGUGUUGCAUAUCGUACAUGCAAAAUAUUAUAUUUUUGCAAGAUUGAGCUCGACAGCCCAACAAAUCUAACAGUUUUCAUGCUUCAUAUAACACGUAGUUUCAUGCUCAACAUAUAUCUCAUAAUUCUUUAUACCAUUCAUGCAUCGUCACCUUAAACAAUAUAUGUUCAUAUCAUAUAUCACAUAUAUUGAGUUCCAUAACUCAAUCAGCUUAGUCAUAUAUUGACUUUCACAGUUUAUAGCAUGUAACAUGUAAUUCAACAUAUUCUUAAAGAUCUCAUACAAUAACCAAUUCAUAGAAUCACAAAGAAACUAGAAGACUUGCCUUGAGUGCUGUUUAAUGUUAUAACUUAUCCACUUUGUGAUGAUCCUACAUAAAUUGAGGAUACAUACAUGCACAUAUUAGUUUCACAUACUAAAUUCACACACUCGAUGUAAACUAAUUUAUUUACAUUAACUAUAAUCCUUUGUUCUCGUCUUAAAACUAUUUCAUGUUUCUUUAGAAACUUUCGUUCAUUAUAACCAUUUUUAUGCCAAAAAAGGUUCUCUCAUGAUUUUAAUAUAUAAAUGCUUUACAUUUCAAAGCAUAAACUAUUUAUAUCCAUUUAUAGAAAUAUUUCUUGCCUCUAUUUGUAAACUUGGGACUGUAUGGUCUAUAAAUAGCUUUUAUAGCGUAAACAUAGCUUAUCUCAUCAUUUCCUUAACUUCCGUAGUUUCCAUGCCUUUUUGAUAGUCGUUCAUGUACUAAACCAUGCUAUCGCCACGUAUGCGAAUGCUUUACUUUAUUAAUAACUUAACUUCACAUUUUAUAUCCUUGCGUUAGUCCAUAUAUUAACUCAUUUUAUAAUUACGUACACGGACGUCUCGUAUCAUUAAUUCACAUAGCGUAUCCAUAACUUAAUGUUCACUCUCGCGAAUAAAUUGAAUUCUCAUUUCAUAUGUAUAUUAGUUUUAUACAUGUCCUUUAAUAAAUUCUUGAUUCCGUUCUCAUAAUAAUCAUUUCGAAAACCCUUUUGUUUUCAAAUUUUACGUUCAAUAUUAACACAUUCCAUUCUAAUAUAUAACUCUCUUUAUAUUUCAUUACACAAAUAGGCUCCGCAUAUGUAAACUUACGUUUACAUAAUACUUUUAUUGUUUCUCUUGCAUAUUGAACGAAUUUACAUUUUAAAAGGCUUCGACACGGCUUUAGCAUAUCGUUACGUUACAUGCUUGGUUUAUAACCAUUCAUAUCAAUUAUACUUUUAUACGUAAACUGUAGUUUAGCUUCCGCAUCAAAUGUAUUUAUAUUUUAUAAAUUAUAAAUACUAAAUCAUUUCACACAUUUGUAUUAUUUCAUUUCUAUUCCAUUUCCAUAUGCAAAAUUAUCAAAACCAUCGAAGCAAAACACCGCGACAUCUAAACAGCGUCACGGUUGGGCACAACCAGAAGUUUGGCCCUGCGUGGCCCGGCAAAGCCCGGCGUGCUUGGCCUGGGCUGGGCAGCCUCAAGUACUCGAUGCCCGUUUUGCGAUUUUCUAAUUUAUAAUUCGCUAAUCCGAUCCCGUCCCAAUUUGGAUAUAUUGUAGAUACCAUAGGAGAAUAUAUUUAGAAAAUAUAAGUCACCCAUUUUAGACAUCAUAGGCAGCCCAAAAUAGAACUUAAAAAUGCCCAAUCAUAACAGUUUUUAACUUUUUCCCAACUUUAACCUCUAUCGCUAAAGCAGUCAUAACUAAUUCGUUUUAAAACAUUUUUGAACGAUUCUUGCGGCCAAGCCAAGCUAACUUCCGGGGCUACAACUCUUAUUCGAUAACCUUUUCCAAAUUCUGCACUCAUAAUUCCAGAAAAUUCGCGCAAGGGACAGGUCCAAAACUGAUUCCCAGAUUUUGGACAGAUUCGAUGCACCCACUUUGGCACAUCAUAACUCGGUCGUCCGAACUCGGAACGAGUCUGUUCCAGAGGCUAUGUCUAGCUGGGAUUUCACACUAGAAGAUCCCAAAAAAUUAUAAUUUUCCUGAAAGUAUUACUAGCCGAAAAAGUUAGCCAAAAUUAGCCCGACACACUAACUUUUCAUAUUUCUCAUUUCUUAUUAAAAGGCGUUCUGGCUUGGUUUAAUUCUACGAGGCGCUUAAAAUAUCUUUAUCUAGGAUAUACGAAGCUAUCUUAGGUUUCAGAUCCAUCAAAUUAUGCGUUUUAAACCAAUUUAGCUCAUUCUGGCAUUUUUACAAACAUCGAGCGUGCGUCCUAAAUUGUGGACUGAUUUCUAUAGGUUGGGGCUACAUAAUCAACCCAUUUUCGCCAACCUUAUAUUGCUUCGCACAACCACACUAAUCUCCAUGGCUCUAAUUCAGUCCACAAGGAUCCGAUCACAGUUAUACCAUUCAUGAAUACAUAUUUACACUAACUAGUUAACAAGUUAGUUUACUAACUUUAAUCUUUGCAUACUCAAUUUUAUACAAUAUCAAUUCCCAUAGCUUAUCAAUAUAAAGAAUCCAAUACAUAUCACACGAACUACUAAUGCAACAAAUCAAUCUCAACACCCAACUGAUUUCACAACCAAAUAAAGUAAUAUACAAUAUAAUUUUACUCUAAUUUUCAUGAAUGGACAAAUAAAAGUUAUUUUACCUCUUGUUUGAUGUUCCUAUUUGGAUUCUUGCUUGCUUGAUAAUUUUAGGUCAGCUUCUUCCUGCUGUUGCGUUUCAUUUCUCCUCAAAUUAGCUUGAAAUUUCAAUUUCCUAAUGCUUGUAUUGGUUCCAGCCGAAACUGCAACGAAUUUGGUAAAGGUUUGGGAGUUAACGAAAUUUUCCUUCUUCUUUCCUUCUUUUGGAGCAGAUAGAUAUGGAAUGGGUAAGGCUGAUAGAUUAGACAAAAUGUGAGGGUCAGAAGUGGUUUUGGAGUAUAUGCACCUAUUUGCACUAUUAUAUUUAAACAAGCAUCAAAUCUCUCAUGCCACUGUAGCCUCAUUUCUGGGAGCAACAAACCCUUCAGGUUGUUCCAUAUAUACUUCCUUAUUCAAAUUGCCAUUCAAAAAUAUUGUCGUAAAAU